rnacentral:lncRNA from 1 species
GGGAGAAGCAUUGCCAUCAUCAGGCCAGGUCUCUGAAACACUGCUGGGGCUCUGCUGAGUCCAGUGGUUCCGAGCAUCCCAAAGCUUUUGUCUUUUCUGAAAUGACGACAUGCACCUUGAUUGUGAGUUAGCUAGACUUCCAGCCAUUUCUCUCCAACAUUUAGGUUUUGCCUCCUCUUAUUUAAAAAUAUCUCAUGUCCUUGGGCUGAACCUCCUGAAGGAGGAAGCAGAAGCGUCUCUGCUUCUCCUGACACUUCUUAUGGAUUAUGUAUCAAGGAAACACCCCUGGGGACUGAUUGGCCCUCACGUCCUGCCACAAGAUUGAUUUUGAUGCAUCAAAUCUAAGAAAGAAGACAUCCUUGGCAACCUGAUUUCCAAGCUCCAUCUCCUCUUCCUGACUGGUGAUGCUUAGCAGUCCUGUCCUCUAGCUGAGUGGGUCUGGAAGGUGUGUCUCCCCCAACACACACCUCCUGGCGCGCUUCCCUGGGGCUGUGCUCCUGGCCAAACGGAGUGGUUUUCAGAGGCAGGAGAGAAGAGUGUGGUGUGAAUGGCUGAGAAUACCAGCUUUGGCUCAGGGCAGUGAGGUUGAGAUGUUUCCCAAAAUGCUUCACACAUUUUCUGCGAUGACAUAUUUUACAACU